rnacentral:rRNA from 1 species
AUUGAACGCUGGCGGCAGGCCUAACACAUGCAAGUCGAGCGGAUGAAGGGAGCUUGCUCCUGGAUUCAGCGGCGGACGGGUGAGUAAUGCCUAGGAAUCUGCCUGGUAGUGGGGAUAACGUCCGGAAACGGGCGCUAAUACCGCAUACGUCCUGAGGGAGAAAGUGGGGGAUCUUCGGACCUCACGCUAUCCGAUGAGCCUAGGUCGGAUUAGCUAGUUGGUGGGGUAAAGGCCUACCAAGGCGACGAUCCGUAACUGGUCUGAGAGGAUGAUCAGUCACACUGGAACUGAGACACGGUCCAGACUCCUACGGGAGGCAGCAGUGGGGAAUAUUGGACAAUGGGCGAAAGCCUGAUCCAGCCAUGCCGCGUGUGUGAAGAAGGUCUUCGGAUUGUAAAGCACUUUAAGUUGGGAGGAAGGGCAGUAAGUUAAUACCUUGCUGUUUUGACGUUACCAACAGAAUAAGCACCGGCUAACUUCGUG